UAUUUUUAUUUUUCUCGUUCCUAGCUCGAAACGCAGCCAACUUCACUCACUUCACUUUUUUGGAAACGUGGAACAGAACGAACCGCUUCGCUCUAAGAAACUUAAAAAGAUGUGAACCAACAAUUAUGGGGUGCUGCGUUCAAUCGCUGGCAGAUGUGACUUGAAACAAAAUGGAGUUGAAAUUCAACACGUGCUUCCGGGCCAAAGAUUUUGAUCUUUAAUGAUCGGUUUUCCAGAGCUUUGGUCAAUUAUAAUAGCUGAAAUGGAGGCUUCUUGGUCCACUUAUUGAAAUGUCAUUAAAAGUAUGCUGGAUUUAAUCAUCCUAUGACAAACUUGGAAAAACAAAUUAAAAGAUGAGAGAAAGACGAACUGGAUUUCCUUACUCGAUGCCCAACUGAAGACCAAUCUACUAAAAAGGUUUUCCGAAUCGGAUGAUUCUUUAUAUGCCUGAUUUACUCAAAUUAAUAUCCACCAAGAUUUGGCUCCUUGGCAGAAGAACAAACAAAAACUUGUUAAGCCACACAUUGAAUAAAAAUCUCAUUUUGAAAUGUUAAAAA